AUUGAACGCUGGCGGAAUGCUUUACACAUGCAAGUCGAACGGCAGCACGGACUUCGGUCUGGUGGCGAGUGGCGAACGGGUGAGUAAUGUAUCGGAACGUGCCCAGUCGUGGGGGAUAACGUAGUGAAAAUUACGCUAAUACAGCAUACGAUCUAUGGAUGAAAGCGGGGGAUCCCAAGACCUCUCGCGAUUGGAGCGGCCGAUAUCAGAUUAGGAAGUUGGUGGGGUAAAGGCCCACCAAGCCAACGAUCUGUAGCUGGUCUGAGAGGACGACCAGCCACACUGGAACUGAGACACGGUCCAGACUCCUACGGGAGGCAGCAGUGGGGAAUUUUGGACAAUGGGCGAAAGCCUGAUCCAGCCAUUCCGCGUGCAGGAUGAAGGCCCUCGGGUUGUAAACUGCUUUUGUACAGAACGAAAAGGUUUCUACUAAUACUAGGAGCUCAUGACGGUACUGUAAGAAUAAGCACCGGCUAACUACGUGCCAGCCGCCGCCGUAA
rnacentral:rRNA from 1 species